rnacentral:rRNA from 1 species
UACGUAGGGUGCAAGCGUUAAUCGGAAUUACUGGGCGUAAAGCGUGCGCAGACGGUUUUAUAAGUUUGUCGUGAAAGCCCCGGGCUCAACCUGGGAAUUGCGAUGAAGACUGUAAGGCUAGAGUGUGUCAGAGGGGGGUAGAAUUCCACGUGUAGCAGUGAAAUGCGUAGAUAUGUGGAGGAACACCGAUGGCGAAGGCAGCCCCCUGGGAUAACACUGACGCUCAUGCACGAAAGCGUGGGGAGCAAACAGG